rnacentral:lncRNA from 1 species
AUAUACACUGGUGUAAAUGUUGCUAAUAUAACAAAUAACUAGAAUGAUUGGAUAGUAUAGAAAUAGCACUUAUAGGGAUAUAAUCUCAUCAACAAAUAAAUAAUAAACAACCUACAAAUCAAACUGGUAUCAUCCUAGAAGAUAAGGACAUCCUGGAAGUCGGGUAAAUAUAACUUUAAUUAUGUUAUUUGAGUGCUUUAUUUUCCUUGUUGACCUAAAAUUUAAACCAUAAUGGGCAUUCAGAUGUAUUUAUCAUAAUGUAGUUUUUCAAAGUAUAAAUUAAGGUUGAAUCACCCAAAUGUAGUUGAAUUGUGUGUUUUCCCAUAUGGCAAGAUUAUGUGGAGAAAUAUUUAUAUCACCUGGGCCCCAAAGUUUUUGGGUGUCUAACAUGACGGUAACCUAGUUGCACCUAUUUUGACAGUUUUUUCAACUACGUUUUUUAUGAUCAUGACAAAAAUUUCUAUUUUGGGUUUAUUUUGUAGCCAUCUCCUUAUUUAUUAUACAGGUACACCAAUUUGAUAUUCAAUCAAUAUGGAAACAUAGCAAAAUUAGUCUGAACUGACCUUCAAACCAUCAAUGAUUCUGUAAUGAGGAGUACCCAAAUUGCAUCCUUGCUUAAAUUUGCAUUGUCAAAAUUCGAAUAACAGAGCUAUUGUUUAAUUUCUUAAAAUAUUUUGAACAAUCGGAUGUUGGUUCAUGCUUACUCUUCAUUUUUUAAGAAAUGAUUACUUGUAACAUAUUGUAUUUGCUUAUUUUAAAAAGAUGACGUUUUGAUGACGUCGUAUGGCGACGUUUUUCCGUACGUUUUGCUUUUUCAGUAAACACUUCAGCUGUUGAUAUGAAUUGUGAACUUUUUAAUGUAUAUUUGAAUAUAUACACAAAUUCUGUAAGACGUGUACAAUGUCAAAUAAUCCAAAUACAAAUUGUUUGGUCUCAAAGAAAACUUUUAAGAAUUUCUCAGCUGUUUAUGUUAAAUAGGUGCAAUUUGGGUACUCGGUGCAAUUUGGGUACCCUGACAAUAUUUAAUUGAUUGUUGUUUAAUUGACAUCAUUUCAGGCAUUUUCAGGAUGACUUGGUGUUUCUGAGAAAUGAACCUAAACACUUAAAUUAACCAAAAUCAGAUGGAAAUAAAAAAUGUAAAAAAAAAAAGGUGAAUUAAUAUACUCUUAUCCACUUUCAUGAACUGGCAUACCACUUACAUGAACUGGCUUAAAAAAUAAACACAACAGACAUGAUAAACAUAGGCACUAAUUCUGUGCACAGUUCUCUGUCAAAUUAUUUACCUACUUG